rnacentral:rRNA from 1 species
UCUAAGUAUAAGUGUUAUACAGCGAAACUGCGAAUGGCUCAUUAAAACAGUUAUAGUUUAUUUGAUAAUCGAAUUUACAUGGAUAACCGUGGUAAUUCUAGAGCUAAUACAUGCUGGUAGGCCCGACUUUUGCGGAAGGGCGGUAUUUAUUAGAUAACAAGCCAAUAUUCCUCUGGUCUAUUGUGGUGACUCAUAAUAACUGAUCGAAUCGCAAGGCCUUUGGCCGCGAUAAGUCAUUCAAGUUUCUGCCCCAUCAGCUUUCGAUGGUAGUGUAUUGGACUACCAUGGCGUUUACGGGUAACGGAGGAUUAGGGUUCGAUUCCGGAGAGGGAGCCUGAGAAACGGCUACCACAUCUAAGGAAGGCAGCAGGCGCGUAAAUUACCCAAUCCUGACUCAGGGAGGUAGUGACAAGAAAUAACGGACCGAGGCCUUCGGGCUUCGGGAUUGGAAUGAGCCGAAUUUACACCCCUUAGCGAAGAUCGAUUGGAGGGCAAGUCUGGUGCCAGCAGCCGCGGUAAUUCCAGCUCCAAUAGCGUAUAUUAAAGUUGUUGCAGUUAAAAAGCUCGUAGUUGGAUUUCUGGGAGGGUGCCGAUGUCCACUUAACGUGUGCGCAGCGGCGCCCUCUCAUCCUUCUGUUAGCGUCUCUUGGCAUUCAUUUGCUGGUGGCGGGCUCAGAUAUUUUACCU